GGGACCUAAUUCCCUCCCUCACAGCAUAAGGUCAUUACUCUCCCAGUCGCUGUCAUAUUGCUCUAUUGUCUUUAUAGGACUUACAACUCCAAACCAUCUUAUGUCUGAUGCGCCCAUCUGAGCAGAUAGAAGAGCUGAAAGCAACAGACUCACUCAGCCAUGCUGAAAUCUUGAGAAAACAGCAGGACUAUGCCCACGGUGGAGAGUAGAAGCUACUGGAUGCCCUAGCCAGCCCGUGGUAUGCACCAGCACUCCCCUCACCUGCAUGCCACACACACGGACACCGAUGACCGCAGAUGUGCUCUGCUGGCACUUGCGGAUCUGGUUGGCUGCCUUCUCCUCGGAAGCAUCAUCACCAUGCUGGCGGGUACCCAUCUUGAGGUCCAGGACACAAGGCACCUCAUAGCGGGAAGUCAGAUUUUCCAGUAAGAUGAAUUCUGAGUGGUUAAGGACAAUCCUCCCUCUAAAGAAAAGGUGCUGCUGCAUGGGGGCUUUGCCACUCCAGGGCACAAUGCCUGCACACAGUGCCUCAGAAAAGCCCAGGUCCACAGAAGGCCCCAUCAGUCCUGCUAUCCCCCAUGUAGGGAGCCCAAGGCUGACUAGAGGGCUAAAAUCGAAGAACUGAAUUCUUGUCAGGGAACUGGCAUGAGGACCGCCUGCAUCCGCACUCAAUAUAGGCCUGGGCGACACACAUAUGGCACUGCCACAACUCAACAAGGUAUGGGAACAGGGUUUCACACUGUCCUAAGUUUCAAACAGAACAUCAAAUAAAUAAAUCCCAUAACCUUC